rnacentral:rRNA from 1 species
AAAGCAGCCACCUUCUAAAAAGCGUUAAAGCUUUAUUAACUUCACUAAAAAAUUCCUCUAACUACUUAAAACCCUCACUCUGUACUGAAUAAUUUUAUAGAACUAUAAAAACUAUUAUGUUAGAACUAGUAACAAGAAGAAACCCUUCUCCAAAAAUGUAAGCAUAGGCCAAAAUGAAUAAUUCAUUGGCAGUUAAAGUUUUUAAGCCCAUAGUAGCAACUUACCAAGAAAAACCUACUUACUUCAACGUUAACCUUACACCAGCACAUUUCUGGAAAGAUUAAAAGAAUGGGAAGGAACUCGGCAAACUAUAACCCCGCCUGUUUACCAAAAACAUCGCCUCUUGAUACCCAUAAGAGGUCCAGCCUGCCCAGUGACUAAGUUAAACGGCCGCGGUACCCUAACCGUGCAAAGGUAGCGCAAUCACUUGUUCUUUAAAUGAGGACUAGUAUGAAUGGCAUCACGAGGGUUACACUGUCUCCCCACUCAACUCAGUGAAACUGAUCUUCCCGUGAAGAAGCGGGAAUAAAAAUAUAAGACGAGAAGACCCCAUGGAGCUUAAAACUCAGAGUUAACUGCCACUUCUUUAGCCUAGUACCCACGCAGAAAUAACUUCUAGUUUUCGGUUGGGGUGACCGCGGAGUAAAACACAACCUCCACGAAGAAAGGAACUUAUACCCUAAUCCAAGAGCUACAGCUCUAAGAAUUAAAACAUUAACCUAAUUGAUCCAAGCACUUGAUCAACGAACCAAGUUACCCUGGGGAUAACAGCGCAAUCCAUUUCAAGAGCUCAUAUCGACAAAUGGGUUUACGACCUUGAUGUUGGAUCAGGAUAUCCCAGUGUGCGCAGC